rnacentral:lncRNA from 1 species
GUUCCACCAAAAGAGAAAGAUGCUACAUCAAAACUAAAAUCCAAAAUCUUUUUAUUAUUUGACCUGAGUAUGGUUUUGUCAUUUCUGUCAAAAAGGCAGUUAUUAUAUCUCAUACCAGUCCACCAGUUAGUAACAGAAAGUGAUUUUAUUUAGAAAGUAUUCUCUUUAAGAAAAAAACAUUAUUCACGAACCUGAUCAUUUUGGCUGAACCAAACCCAAGGCUAUCAUGAAAUAGGUUUGUCAUGUACUUCUUUUGAGCAACGCUCAAAAGCUUUGAGUUGUUGUAUAUAUCAGGCAGGUACGCCUCCCCAUUCCCUUCUUUGUGUUUAUUCCAUAGUUCAACAAACUUUUUCUGGAACAAAUUCCACGACUCUUCAAUUGUCUUCAAGAUCCAUUUCUUGUAAGCCUGCAAAAAAGAUAGGCAGCAGAGCACUUAGUUAACGCUUAACGCUACUACUGAAGAUGUCAUUAAUAGAAAGCCGGUAACGGAUCUUUCGAAAAAAAAGAUGUCAUUAAUUAAGUAACGCUACUACUGAAGAUGCAUGAAUCAAAUGCAAGGGACAUUUUUGACUGGUAUACUUUUGUCUGCCAAGUACUAUCCUCUUUAUGCUAAACAUGACAGCUUUGAUUAUCCCCAGGUGUCAGAAAAGUCACUAUUUCUCAUGUAAGAAAUUAGCAUCAUACUCCAAACAUCUAUCCAUCACAGAAGUAGACUCUGAAGACAUUUGACUGACAUUACCCUAGUAACUCAAAAACAAGCUAAACCACACAAAGCAACCCAACUACAUUUGACAGCAAGAAACCAUAAGAAGAAUUUGGUAUGGAUAGAAGUGAACUAGCCAACAUGGUAUGAUUAGACCAUGUACUACUAAUAUUGAAGUUAUAAAGGGUGAAAAAGUAACAAGCUAGCAGAUUCAUUCAUACAUACCUUACGAUCGUUCGCUUGAUCAGCAUGCCCAUUCUGUGCAUAGUAUGCCAAAAUCAGGUUUCCAAGGAAGGCUCCAAUGUCAUAACCCAUUGGCCCAUAGAACCCAAACUCUGAAUCAAUGAUUUGAGUUGAACCUGUGGUCACCAUGAUAGAAGCAGUGUGGAGAUCUCCAUGAAUCAGAGCCUGAGCUCUCUCCAUAAACCUGAAGUUCGAAAACGAAUAAUUCGUAUUUCCCAUAUAUAGAAACAAACCAUAGAUGGCAAUUAUUUCUACAAAGUUAGGUAAUUAUUACAGCGAUUUCAAUUCAGCCGCUUCCAACUUGAGCUCCUCAUCCUCUCGAACUGCCUCAGCAUCUUUGUCAAGAUAAGGUGAGGUCCACCGAUUAAAUUUCGAGACGCGGUAUGGAUCCGAGAACACAAAUUGCUCCGUGAGCCUACACAUCUCCACGUUCGCAGAGUACUUAGCAACUGAAACCACAGCACAACCCAUUGCAUAUCCGUCAGUCGUUAGUGCACGUGAAAACAUGAAAAACAAUUCAAAAAAACGUAAUUUGAUCAUUUGAAAAAAAAUUGAAAUUUGAUAUAUUUAUAGUGCGUACUAAUUAAUAUAUACUCAAAUGAAAAGUUGAGACGCAAACUCAAACUAGGCCUUGUUUACUUCCUAGAAAAUUUUGUAAAACUUUUCACAUUUUCCGUCACAUAGAAUCUUGCGACGCAUGCAUAGAACAUUAAAUAUAGAUAAAAAAAUAACUAAUUACAUAGUUUGUCUAUAAUUUGUGAGAUGAAUCUUUUGAGCCUAUUUAGUUUAUGAUUGGAUAAUAUUUGUCACAUACAAACAAAAAUACUACAGUACCUAUUUUCCAAAAUAUUUUAGAUCUAAACAAGGCCCUAGAAAUAUUCAUACGAAAAUGACAAAUUCUAGUGGACAUGCAUAUAAAAUUUGUGAUUUUCGUAUGAAUUUUUGAAAAGUGAGUUUGUCUCUCAACUUUUGCAUGUGAAUACAUAUUUAUAUGCACUAUGGAUGUACUAAAUUUUAGUUUUUUUUUGAACAACGGAAAUAAGAUUCUUGAAUUGGUUUUCAUAGGCAUGGCCACGUACCAACAAGUGGGAGCCAUCUCAACAGCAAUGAAGGGGCUCACCUCCUUUCUUAUGAUCCGUGGUGUUGUUAUAGAGGAGGGAGGUGAAGAAGAGCGUCUUGGCCAUGUAAUCGGACAUGUGGUCGGCGAGCAGCGGGUACUCGACGCCGGCGAUGAAGCCCUUGCGGAGGAUGAUGUGCGGGGGCUCGAUGUAACGCAUCGCCAUCAGCGACAUGGCCCGGUCCAAGUGGUACACCUCGGGGGUGUGCUCCGGGCACAGGCGGCCGUGCUCACGCAGCGUGGAGGCCUCGAAGUAGACGCGCUCCCGCGUCAUCGGCCACGAGUCCCCCACGGAGCGCACGUACGGGAGCGCCUGCGUGUUCCAGGUUCGCCCGCGCCGUGAGGUCAGGUGAGAGGGAAGCUAGGACGAGGAGGCGGGGCGGACACUCGAUCGUACCUGUUUGACGACGAUCGCGCCAGCUUCGGACCGCACGAUGUAGACGAAGUUGACGUUGCCGUCGCCGACCUCCUUGAUCUCGAGGGAGUCCAGGCUGCCGCCGCCGAGGCGGGAGGCGAGCGCCGGCGUGGUCUUGAUGUAGGCGACUAAGGACGCCUCGUCCAGCGGGCGGAAGCCUUGCUCCGCCUCCGCGGUCAUGGCUGAGGCUGACUGCCACUCGGGCGGUGAGGGCGCCGGCGGGUGGGUGGGGGGGGGGGGGGGGGGGGGGGGGGGGAAUCUGCCAAUUGCGGUGUGUGGUGGUGGGGUUUAUGAGGAGAAGAGAGCAUUCUGAAUGUGUGAUAUCAAUCACAACAGCACUGCCUUGCGGACUUUUGGGAGUGAGACACAGACAAACCAAAUGCAAACGGGCAGCUCUUUUUCGGUGAAGUGAAUUUAUACUUAGGCCCUGUUUGGUUCCACCAACUAAAUUUUAGCUACUCUUGGGUGACUAAUGGAACUAAACUAUUUUAACUACUUUUAGUCAAUGUGUUUGGAACUUUAGCUACUAAAGUGACUAAAGUUUAACUAACUAAAAUUUAGUUGGUGGAACCAAACAGGGCCUUAAUCUAUAUCUGUAUCUACUUUUUUAACAACAAGUUUGACCACUCGUCUUCUUCAAAAAUUUAUGCAAAAUAUGACUUCUUUCAUUGUGGUUUGAUUUAUUAAUAAAAUUUUUCUAAGAAUAACUUAAAUUUAACUAUGUUUAUAUAAAUUUUUUGAAUAAAAGAAUGGUCAAACUUGAGGUAAAAAAAGUCAAACGUAUUAUAAUUUGAAACGGAGGAAGUAUUAAUUAAAGAUAGGGAGAAUUGGCUGUGGGACAUGUAGAAUGGUGGCCAUUUGCCAGCGGACAUUAGAAAAAAUUAGAUUGCUCAAAGACACUUCGUUUCUUGUCAAAUUUGCUGGCGGACACUAUGUCUAAUCAAACAUUAUUGCAAAAUAGAUAUAAAAUCAUAUAAGUGCUAGAAAAUUAUACUAUAAAUUUUUUUACACUCUACAUGUUGAGAACUAUACUGUAAAAAUAUUGUUUUGCACUAAAAUGACCAUUUUGCCCCUCUUCAUAAAUAGACAAAGAUAACCAUGGUUAAUUAGUUAAUAUAUUAGUAAGAUACUAAAAAUACUAAACAAUAUUUUUACACUAUAGUUCUCAUCAUGUGGAGUGUAAAAAAAUUAUAGUAUAAUUUUCUAGCACUUAUAUGAUUUUAUAUCUAUUUUGCAAUAAUGUUUGAUUAGACGUAGUGUCCGCCAGCAAAUUUAACAAGAAAUAGAGUGUUUUUGAGCAAUCUAAUUUUUCCUAGCGUUCGCCGGCAAAUAGCCACCAUUCUGCAUGUCCCACAGCCAAUUCUCCCUUAAAGAUAUGUUUGGAACAUAUAUAGGAUUGAAAAACGUAGAAAUCAGAAAAACACAAGUAAAAUAUGUAAUAAAAAACAGAAAUUUUAUAGGAAAAUUUGUUAUUUUUUUACAAUAAAGGAAAAGUUAGCCUUAGGAAAAACACAAGGACGAGCUACGCUUCUCAGGGCCGAAGCUCCUCACUCCUCUUGUGCGAUACAUGUUGCAGAUGUAUUUAUGUGAUAUUGUAACACAUGAUGUCUGAUGCUUUGCCAUUCGAUUUCUAAUGAUUCACUCUGUUGUAGUAGAUGUAAAGUUUAGGAUUUAGGGUUUAGGGUUUAGGGUAGGGUUUAGGGUUUAGGGUUAACUAAGAGCAUCUCCAAAGGCUUUGGCAAAUUGAUUUGACAUUUGUUGCUAUUUGCAAACUGCCAUAACAAAAUGCAAAGGAUAAAAAUAGGUCAUCUCCAAGGAAAUUGUCAUUUAGACUUAGCAAAGGAUAAAAAUAGAAGAUCUCCAGGCGCGCGUGCUUUCCUCGUGCGUGACUUUGCUUGCGCGAUCGGGUUUGCAAAGUCGUCCACAGUUUGGCAUUUUUGCCAAGUUUGCUCCCCCAUUUGCCAUGUUGCCCAAAUUGCAAACUCCAAAUGCAAAACCGUUGGAUACCUUUUUUGGAUCUUUUUAGCAAAUUACUCAAAUGCAAAACCCUUAGAAAUGCUCUAAUAUUCCUUCGUGUUGAUUUUGUUGCCAUGACCUCUUUUGAGAAUGUUGCAUUGCAUCGCAUAAUCAGUGGAUUUUGAUAUGUUCUCAUCGAGAUGGAGAUGAGUAUCUUUUUAUAUGCCGCAACAACUAUAACUAGAUGCACCAAUAAUUACGUUGAUUUUUUUGCAAUGACUUUUUUUGUUUGGAUGUCAUUGUUUUGUUUCGAUCAAGAUAGAGAUGGAGAUCAAAAAUCUUUUUUAAUGUUGCAAUCGCAUGUUUUCGAUGGUGCACCAAACGAUUUAGUUUCUUUAAAUCAACUCCAUCUCUACUUUGUUGCCGCAUUCUUCUCCUCUUAAGAUGACAGUUGUUGCAACAAGUGUGUUUUCAUGUUGUAACUGUCUGAGUAUUUUCGUUGGACUUUUUGGACUCUUUACUGCAAGAACUGGAUAUCAUUGCAUUCGACUUGGUAAGCUCAUUGCGAUAUUCAGAAAUAUCUACAUGGACUCUUAUCUAAUAAGAGAGGAAAGAAAAAAUAAUCUACAUGUACUAUAAUCAGAAACAAAAGGAGAAAAAAAAAAGACAGCAACAUGUGUUAUUGGUAUCCUAGUAUAAGGACAUGUUUAGGCCUCGUUCGUUUGGCCUGGCUUUGAGGGUAGAACUAUUCCAGCUAAUACAUGUUAAAUUGUUAAUACAAAUAAGCUUAUGGUUCCAGUUGAAAUAGUUCCAGUUCCAGGGCAACCAAUACACAAUAAAUGAACAAGCCCAUUUUUCAGGGCUUCAUUCCCCUUCAAACAAACGGCACUCCUUCGCUGGCUCCGAUACUGCUGUAGUGAAUCCGGUCGGAGCCCCAAACCUACAGUUCUUCCCGUGCUACAGUGAGGUAUAAUACUGUGCGCUACAGUUCACUGAUGUCCAAAGAAAACAACAUUAAGAGUUUAAGACGAUUGAAUUGACAUUUUCAGACCUCAAUUUAGAGAUGUAAAUCCUCCUAGACGGCAUGGACGCCAACAGGUCUUAGUUACCAAGAUCAAGAUUACGAAGACAAUAACAAGGCAGUACUUGCCAAAGGACCAUCAUAACAAAAAUUAUUGGUAAAAUACAAGCAUCUAAAUGUACUGAGAUAGUCACGGAGAAAUCUCGUACAUUUCAUUAUUCAGAACCAAGGGGCCUAUGGCAGAAUAAGAUCUUACUCUGGUAGUGUACACAGUCCAAACUAUCAGACCACAAAUGGGCACCUUUUCAUCAUAUAAUCUCAAUACAGAAAACACAAACAACCGGUGCUUCAAAACAGACGAUUCACCGAUACUCAGGUAUGUGUGGGUUAAUUGACGAAAGUAUGUCUCCUUAAGCGCAAAAAUAGACUGCCGCCUUCUCAGUCCUGGUCAAACGAUUGAAUAUGCUCAAUGACUU